rnacentral:rRNA from 1 species
GACGGAGGAUGCAAGCGUUAUCCGGAAUGAUUGGGCGUAAAGCGUUCGCAGGUGGCUGUUCAAGUCUGCUGUCAAAGACCGGGGCUUAACCCCAGAAAGGCAGUGGAAACUGAACGGCUGGAGUGCAGAUCGAGUAGAGGGAAUUCCAAGUGUGGCGGUGAAAUGCGUAGAGAUUGGGAAGAACACCGGUGGCGAAAGCGCGCUGCUGGACUGCAACUGACACUGAGGGACGAAAGCUAGGGGAGCGAAAGGG